rnacentral:SRP_RNA from 1 species
AGGUCCACGCCGGUUGUGUUUUCCGCCUGGUUUUUCCAUGCCGUCGCGCGGAGGUCCCAUGCUUAGGAAUUUGUUUC